UAGAGUAAUGUUUUUUUUGAG
rnacentral:piRNA from 1 species